rnacentral:rRNA from 2 species
UACGUAGGUGGCGAGCGUUAUCCGGAAUUACUGGGCGUAAAGCGCACGCAGGCGGUUCGGCAAGUUCGACGUGAAAACUCCCGGCUUAACUGGGAGAGGUCGUUGAAAACUGCCGAGCUUGAGGCAAUGAGAGGGGUGUAGAAUUCCCGGUGUAGUGGUGGAAUGCGUAGAUAUCGGGGGGAAUACCAGUGGCGAAAGCGGCACCCUAGCGUUGUUCUGACGCUCAUGUGCGAAAGCGUGGGGAGCGAACGGG